AAUGAUUGUCAAGUUUAUUAAAAGAUCUUACCUGAUUUUAACUAGGAUCCUUCAAUUGAAGAAAUAAUUGUCAGAAUUGAUUGACAAUUUAUUCCAGAGGAACUCGCAAACAAACGGUGAACAAUGUCAAUGCCUUAUUACAUCACGCCAUUUUUAGUAAAAGUAGGGUCGAACUAAAACCCGGACCAAUCUGCGGACGAUAUAGAUUAUAUAGUGAUCUGCGGACCAUAUAGACAAAAAAAGCAAUCUGCGGAUGAUAUGAACCAAAAAGGAAAUGGGAGACGAUAUGGAUUGUAAUUGAACAAUUGUUUCGUAAUUGUUCACGCGUUAUGUUUUGGUACUGGAAUAUUUGAAAGUAAAUAUUUAAUUAUUGUGCUAUUAUUUUAGACAAUUCACAUUUUUCAUAAACACAAACACAAGUAGGUUUAAUGGUUUAGUAACAAUACAUUAAAGAAUUACAAUCAUAUACAUCAUUAAAGAAUUAUAAUGUACACAAUGACAAGCUGGCAUAUAUUACUAUAGAAUGUUAAUGCAUACAUAAUAGAAAGGUGAACAUGAUAAAUAAUGUGUAAUAGAUAUGAACAGGUACUUUAACACAUUCACAAGUUAUUGCAUGUUGCAAUUUUUGCAAACAAAACAGUACAGAAUUUACAAUCAUGUACAUCAUCAAAGAAUUAUUAUGUACACAAUGACAUUAGCACGCAUAUAUUACUAUAGAAUAUUAAUGCAUUUACAUGUAUAAUAGAAAUUUUGAAUUAAUAAUGUGUAACAGAUACCAAAAUGUAAUUUAGGACAUUCACAAGUUAUUGCAUGUUGCAAUUUGGGCAAACAUAUUGCACAUCAACAUUAGAAAUGUCCGAUGGUGCAUGAACACAGUGCUUGUGAAACCAGUUCGAGCAUUUGUCGCAUUGAACUUGAUCUCUAAACAGGCUGGUAAAUUACAAAUACAAUAUAAAUCAAUUGUUAUUGACUUUGAUUUAUUUUUGCGUCGAACACUGAUAGUUUUACUGGUUGUUGGAAAUUCACUUAUAUGUCGGAAUCUAAACAAGACAAAAGAUGUUCUCUUAACUUUAAGGAAUUAAAUAUCAAAUCAAAACAAGUUUUUUUCCUAAUACACAAAAAUGUGUCGUGCGCACGUGCAUAAAGACCACAAUCGAUGAUAUUUUUUUGUUUUGCACUGACAGAACUAAGAUAUUAAUGUUGUCUUCGCCUUCACCAUAAAUUUGCGCCAACUUUAUUAUGACAGUUUUUUAUUAAUUGGUUUUAAGGGAAUAUGCUUUUGCCAUUUAUUUGUUGUCUUAUCAAAUUGUGGGACCUUCUCAGGUCCUUGAAGGCCGCCAAUGUCAUUCCCCAAUUGAUUUCUUAAAAGCUUAUUGACUGCCUCUAUAUGCUGAUAAUGUAGUUUUUCGUUGUUUGUAAUUUCAUUUUUGUCAUCUACAGUUAAUUUGAGGUUUUCGUUCCACAAUAAAAUGAUAUUAUGUGGACUGCUAUUGCGACUGUCGCUGACAUCAAUACAUGUGUUAACAGAUUCUAUCUGUGUAAGAGGAUUUUUGUGAAUUGUUAAAAAAUGCUUAUCAUCAUUCGCUAGUUUAACAUCAUUUUCGCAAAAUUCUAUCAGGCUGUCAUUUCGAUGGUCGCUCAAUUCAAUAAAUUGAUUUAUUUCGUCUAUAGUUGACAGGUCGGGUAUUUUCUUAAAUUUACAGGGGUCUUCUGUAGGGGAUAACUCGAGUUUUCUUUUCUUUCCACUUGUGCAAUAAGGCGUUUUAAUAAUUGAUUCUGACAUUGACGCAUCAAAUAACGAUCUAUGUACAUCAACGAUUGGUUUUGAGGCAUUAUUAGGUUAAUGGAGGACGCUAGCAUGUCUUUUUUUUAAAACUAUUUUUAAUUAUAGAGCCGCAUUGACUUGAAUAUCGCCAUCACCCUUUCUUGCAUGGACCUCUACCUUUUGAUGAGGUCACUGGGGCUAAUAAUAGAUUUUCCAUCACACUUUUGUUACAAUUUCUCAUAGCGCCUUCAAUAUUUUACUGAUCUCUUACAUAUUUGGCAUGUAGGUACCUUGCAUGGACCUCUACCUUUUGAAUGAGUUCUGAGGUCAAGGUCAAGGUCACCGAGGCUAAUAAUAGAUUAUCUGAAGGUCAAGCAAGGGGAGCAUCCAUCUUUUUUCAACGAUACUUGUUUAUUUAUUUUGGUACGACACUUUUGCCUAAGUUCUGUUAAGUUGUAAACUUUUUUGUCAUCCGGUUGUGGCAUGCCGAUUGCCAUCAUCGCUGAAAUCAAUUAAUCCUCGUAAUUUCCUUGUAAUCUUUUUAACAUAGCAUUGAGACUGUCACUUUCUAACUUUCUAUAUCUCUUUCUAACAGAAUCCAUCGUGCUGAACAGUUAACAAUUGCAGAUAAAAUACAGUCAUCAAAAUAUUUCAGAAACGAUUAGCUCCAGUUUAUUUUUAGCUCAUCUAAUGUUUCAUCAAAGAUUGUUCGGUUCUCACAUUGCAAUAAAGUUUGGAUAUUUGCCUCAUACACCUAUCCUAUCCUCCAUUGUACCGCUGUGUUUUAGAACCCAAAAUUUCACAUCAUUGAGUAUGUGAACCCAGCAGUUCACGACCUUUGCGUUUUCCAAUGUUGUCUCAAAUGCACCUUCUAUUGCUUGCUCUUGGUCUGUCACAAUCAUUACAUGCUUUGAAUCUAAAUUUGGUAUUUGUUGUUUUAAAAUGUCAACGAAGCUUUCGUGGCAACUUUGGAACUUUCGUUCACGUAUCAUAAAAGCGAUAGGUAGCACAGGUGCUUCUUUAAACAUUUGGUGCUGAAUUGCGAUUGUAGACACCUAAAAGUCACCAAGAUUAAACGUUGUGUCGCAAAAUAGUUCAGGCGUUGUUUUUAUACUUAGAACAUAACCGUUUAGUUGCGAUAGCAAUAAAUGCAAAGAAUACAUUUAGUCGUGAGAUAGUUUGUUUUUGUUCUUUACCUUUAAUUUCAAAUUUUGAAGUUGCUUCAAAUUUCUUGGGGCGCUAACACCCUGCAAUUAUGUCUCUGGCGAUAGCUCAGAUCUUAUUUUUUCCAAAAUGUGUUUCGGAAUUUCAUUGUUAAUGACGGAAUUUUUUUGUUGACCCAUUACAGAUGGUUUUGUUCACUGUUGUUUCGCUUCCUAUUACCAUAGGGAAGUGCUUGAUAUAGACUUUUAUCACCAUAAUGUAGCUUGUGAUUGGAAGACUUCUUCUGUUUUCUUGGCUGUAUUUUCUUGGUACUUUCAAGCAGGGCACAACACAAUUUAGAGUCAGAGUGUUGGGGAACCCUGAUGCUGGAACGUUUUCACUGGCGUAUCAUCAUUUUGAUGCAUGUUCUCUCCCUGUCCAAAAAUAAUGAUGGAAACACACGUGUAACCCAGAACCAUUUGUGUGCUUCACAGACACCUUUCCAGAAGUCUACAUCAAAGUCAAUGCCACACAUAGCAUGUCCAUGAUGGGUAUUCACAAAUAAAUCACAGUAUGGUCGAUCCAAGAUAGCCAUUUGACCCUGCAUUUGAUAAAAGUAUUGAUGUUUUUUGUCAAACAUCACAGGUCCGUUUUCAUCAUACAGUAAAUAUUUCACAUUGUGAACAGUUGGUACAGAAUCCUUAAAACUUUCAGGACAUUUUAUUUCACAAAGGCCUUUACUGUAGCACACACAAUCCACUUCCAAAUCUGCGCUUGCUGCAAUGUAAGGUGCAUCUGCACAAGCUGAUAGGCCAGAGUCACAUAUGAAUUCUAUGUUGGUGCUUACAAAUAUUAAGUUGCAACCAAAUAUUUUGAUU